rnacentral:rRNA from 1 species
AGAGUUUGAUCCUGGCUCAGGAUGAACGUUGGCGGCGUGCCUAAUACAUGCAAGUCGAACGAAGAGCUCUGAGUAGCAAUACUUGGAAUCCUCUUAGUGGCGAACGGGUGAGUAACGCGUUGGUGACCUGCCCCAAAGAGUGGGAUAACAGUUCGAAAGGACUGCUAAUACCACAUGUGAUCAUUUGGUUUAGAUGCCUUAUGAUUAAAGGAGCUUGCUCCGCUUUGGGAGGGGCCUGCGUCCCAUCAGCUAGUUGGUAGGGUAAUGGCCUACCAAGGCGAUGACGGGUAGGGGACCUGAGAGGGUGGCCCCCCACAAUGGAACUGGAACACGGUCCAUACACCUACGGGUGGCAGCAGUAGGGAAUAUUGGUAAUCUGCGAAAGCGGGAACCAGCAACGCCGCGUGUGCGAAGAAGGCCUUCGGGUUGUAAAGCACUUUUCGGGAGGAAGAGGAAGGACUGUACUCCCGGAAUAAGUCUCGGCUAACUACGUGCCAGCAGCCGCGGUAACACGUAGGAGGCAAACGUUAUCCGGAUUUACUGGGCGUAAAGCGCGUGCAGGCUGUUCAAUAAGUUGGGCGUGAAAGCUCCCGGCUCAACUGGGAGAGGUCGUUCAAUACUGUUGGACUAGAGGAUGGUAGAGGGAGGUGGAAUUCCAGGUGUAGUGGUGAAAUGCGCAGAUAUCUGGAGGAACACCAGUGGCGAAAGCGGCCUCCUGGACCAUUCCUGACGCUCAGACGCGAAAGCUAGGGUAGCGAACGGGAUUAGAGACCCCGGUAGUCCUAGCUGUAAACGAUGUGAACUUGGCGUCGGUGGGAUUAAAUCCAUCGGUGUCGAAGCUAACGCGAUAAGUUCACCGCCUGAGGACUACGGCCGCAAGGUUAAAACUCAAAGGAAUUGACGG